rnacentral:rRNA from 1 species
GGAUUAGAUACCCGGGUAGUCCAUGCCGUAAACGGUGGGCGCUAGGUGUGAGUCCCUUCCACGGGGUUCGUGCCGUAGCUAACGCAUUAAGCGCCCCGCCUGGGGAGUACGGCCGCAAGGCUAAAACUCAAAGGAAUUGACGGGGGCCCGCACAAGCGGCGGAGCAUGUGGAUUAAUUCGAUGCAACGCGAAGAACCUUACCUGGGCUUGACAUACACCAGAUCGCCGUAGAGAUACGGUUUCCCUUUGUGGUUGGUGUACAGGUGGUGCAUGGUUGUCGUCAGCUCGUGUCGUGAGAUGUUGGGUUAAGUCCCGCAACGAGCGCAACCCUUGUCUUAUGUUGCCAGCAAUUCGGUUGGGA